rnacentral:rRNA from 1 species
UACAGAGGGUGCGAGCGUUGUCCGGAAUCACUGGGCGUAAAGGGCGCGUAGGCGGCCCGGUAAGGUUGCGGUGAAAGCCCGGGGCUCAACCCCAGGUCGGCCGUGGCAACUGCUGGGCUGGAGCACAGUAGAGGCGGGUGGAAUUCCGGGUGUAGCGGUGGAAUGCGUAGAGAUCCGGAAGAACACCAGUGGCGAAGGCGGCCCGCUGGGCAGUGGCUGACGCUGAGACGCGAGAGCGUGGGGAGCGAACAGG